rnacentral:rRNA from 1 species
GACGAACGCUGGCGGCGUGCUUAACACAUGCAAGUCGAACGGAAAGGCCCUGCUUGCAGGGUACUCGAGUGGCGAACGGGUGAGUAACCCGUGGGUGAUCUGCCCUGCACUUCGGGAUAAGCUUUGGAAACUGGGUCUAAUACCGGAUAGGAGCCAUCUUUAGUGUGGUGGUUGGAAAGUUUUUUCGGUGUAGGAUGAGCUCGCGGCCUAUCAGCUUGUUGGUGGGGUAAUGGCCUACCAAGGCGGCGACGGGUAGCCGGCCUGAGAGGGUGUACGGGCACAUUGGGACUGAGAUACGGCCCAGACUCCUACGGGAGGCAGCAGUGGGGAAUAUUGCACAAGGGGCGCAAGCCUGAUGCAGCGACGCCGCGUGGGGGAUGAAGGCCUUCGGGUUGUAAACUCCUUGCGCUAGGGACGAAGCUUUGUUGUGACGGUACCUAGAUAAGAAGCACCGGCUAACUACGUG